rnacentral:rRNA from 1 species
UGGGGAAUUUUGCACAAUGGGGGAAACCCUGAUGCAGCGACGCCGCGUGAUUUAGAAGGCCUUCGGGUUGUAAAAAUCUUUUCUAUGGGAAGAAAAUGACAGUACCAUAGGAAUAAGGACCGGCUAAUUACGUGCCAGCAGCCGCGGUAAUACGUAAGGUCCGAGCGUUGUCCGGAAUCAUUGGGCGUAAAGGGUACGUAGGCGGGUAAGCAAGUUAGAAGUGAAAUCCUAUAGCUCAACUAUAGUAAGCUUUUAAAACUGCUCAUCUUGAGGUAUGGAAGGGAAAGUGUAAUUCCUAGUGUAGCGGUGAAAUGCGCAGAUAUUAGGAGGAAUACCGGUGGCGAAGGCGACUUUCUGGCCAUAACCUGACGCUGAGGUACGAAAGCGUGGGUAGCAAACAGG